rnacentral:rRNA from 1 species
UAGGGAAUCUUCGGCAAUGGACGAAAGUCUGACCGAGCAACGCCGCGUGAGUGAAGAAGGUUUUCGGAUCGUAAAACUCUGUUGUUAGAGAAGAACAAGGACGUUAGUAACUGAACGUCCCCUGACGGUAUCUAACCAGAAAGCCACGGCUAACUACGUGCUAGCAGCCGCGGUAAUACGUAGGUGGCAAGCGUUGUCCGGAUUUAUUGGGCGUAAAGCGAGCGCAGGCGGUUUCUUAAGUCUGAUGUGAAAGCCCCCGGCUCAACCGGGGAGGGUCAUUGGAAACUGGGAGACUUGAGUGCAGAAGAGGAGAGUGGAAUUCCAUGUGUAGCGGUGAAAUGCGUAGAUAUAUGGAGGAACACCAGUGGCGAAGGCGGCUCUCGGGUCUGUAACUGACGCUGAGGCUCGAAAGCGUGGGGAGCAAACAGG